rnacentral:tRNA from 1 species
GGAAGCGUGCCUGAAGACUAAAGGGCCACUUUGAUAGAGUGGAAUAUGGUGGUUAAAACCCUCCCGCUUCCU